AAAAACAUAGCCUUUAGCCCAACAAGUAUUAAAGGUCUGGCCUGCCCAGUGAACUAUUUCAACGGCCGCGGUAUCCUAACCGUGCAAAGGUAGCGUAAUCAUUUGUCCCCUAAAUAGAGACUUGUAUGAACGGCUAACUGAGGGCCUAACUGUCUCCUUAAGCCAAUCAAUGAAACUGAUCUUUCAGUACAAAAGCUGAAAUGCCCCCAUAAGACGAGAAGACCCUGUGGAGCUUAAAACCUAUACUAUAAACCCUCCCCCUCCCUCCCCUAAUGGCACACCACCUUUUCCCAUGGUAAAGGUUUUUAGUUGGGGCGACUUUGGAAUAAAACAAAACUUCCAUGCCAGGGGACUUCCCCUAUAAAGGCUGACAUGCCAAAAUAAUACUUUUUUGACCCAGCCUGUCUGAUCAACGAACCAAGUUACCCCAGGGAUAACAGCGCCAUCCUCUUCAAGAGUUCCUAUCGACAAGAGGGUUUACGACCUCGAUGUUGGAUCAGGACACCCCGGUGGUGCAGCCGCUACCAAAGGUUCGUUUGUUCAACGAUUAAUAGU
rnacentral:rRNA from 1 species